rnacentral:tRNA from 1 species
CUGUGCCGGGCCGCCGGCUGCACGGUGACCGGCAUCGACGGCCGGCCCGUGCACACCGGUGCGGGCGGGCUGAUCGCGGCUGCCGACGCGGA